UACGUAGGGCGCAAGCGUUGUCCGGAUUCACUGGGCGUAAAGGGCGUGUAGGCGGUCAGGUAAGUGGGAUGUGAAAUGCCUCGGCUCACCCGAGGCACUGCAUUCCAAACUGCUUGGCUUGAGUAUGGGAGAGGAUGAGGGAAUUCCUGGUGUAGCGGUGAAAUGCGUAGAUAUCAGGAGGAACACCGGUGGCGAAGGCGCUCAUCUGGCCCAAUACUGACGCUGAGGCGCGAAAGCUAGGGGAGCAAACGGG
rnacentral:rRNA from 1 species